UACGUAGGGUGCAAGCGUUGUCCGGAAUUAUUGGGCGUAAAGAGCGUGUAGGCGGCCCGGUAAGUCCGCUGUGAAAGUCCAGGGCUCAACCCUGGGAUGCCGGUGGAUACUGUCGGGCUCGAGUCCGGAAGAGGAGUGUGGAAUUCCUGGUGUAGCGGUGAAAUGCGCAGAUAUCAGGAGGAACACCAAUGGCGAAGGCAGCACUCUGGGACGUGACUGACGCUGAGACGCGAAAAGCGUGGGGAGCAAACAGG
rnacentral:rRNA from 1 species